AUUGAACGCUGGCGGCAGGCCUAACACAUGCAAGUCGAACGAGUGGCGGACGGGUGAGUAAUGUCUGGGAAACUGCCCGAUGGAGGGGGAUAACUCCUGGAAACGGUAGCUAAUACCGCAUACCAUCGGAUGUGCCCAGAUGUGAUUAGCUAGUAGGUGGGGUAACGGCUCACCUAGGCGACGAUCCCUAGCUGGUCUGAGAGGAUGACCAGCCACACGGGAUCGGCGACCCGGUCCAGAGUCCGACGGGAGGCAGCAGUGGGGACCAUUGCACAAUGGGCGCAAUCCUGAUGCCGCCAUGCCGCGUGUAUGAAGAAGGCCUUCGGGUUGUAAAGUACUUUCAGCGAGGAGGCGUUACUCGCAGAAGCAGCACCGGCUAACUCCGUGCCAGCAGCCGCGGUAAUAC
rnacentral:rRNA from 1 species